GUAGUAGUACUUACAUGUCUUACUCAAAUAAAUAAUUACCUCAAUACAGUAUAAAUUAAAAGUUAACGGUUUGUUUUAUAUUUUUUUAUACAUGUUUGUACUUACUAUGGAUAUUAUAAAAUCAAAUAAAGGAUGUGAUAAGUUAUGCUACAACGGCUUAAGGCUUUAUAUACCUAUGUUGUAAAGCAUAUUGGUAAAUCCAAGAUAACUUGUAGGUGUUGGAAGAAGUCCGCAAUGAAAUGUACAGGAGAAUUUUACACCAAUCUUCAAAGAGAAGACCCUGUAUCAAAAUCCAAUCAUAACCAUUUUGGAGAUAAUGGCAAGGUAAAUAUGGAAAAAGAUUUAUGUGUUAUUAAAGAGCAGACAAAAGCUGGUUUAUCUAAAUCGCUUGAAGUUUAUGCUGAAAUAAUUUCUAAGUUGGACGAUGACAUUAGAGCAAAGAUGCUGGUGGAAGACAUUAUACAAUGUUAAAAGAACAUUGUGAAAUCAACAUUCUAAAUUAAAUCCAAUUGAACCAACUAGUCUGGAUAAUUUGGUCAUUAAUGAUGAGUGGUGCACAACAGGUCAUUUUGAGUAUGACCAUUUUUUAAUUUUGACAAUGGUAUUGAUUCUGAACAAAAAAUUUUGAUUUUUGGCACUGUAUCAAAAUCCAGUACUUGGUAUUCAGAUGGUAAUUUCUCACUAGCAUCAAAAUUAUUUUUGCAAUUGUAUGUUAUAAGUGUAGAGGUAGGUAGAUGGUAUAUUUAUAACUGCAAUAGUCUAUUACAAAGGAAAACAUCAGAAACCUAUAAAUUAGCACUUAGAACAUUAGUUGAAAAGUGUGCAGAGGAAAAUCUUAAUCUUGAUCCAAAGUAUAUCUAUCUUGAUUUUGAAAAGAUUGUAAUUAAAGCUGUUCAUAAAAUAUUUAACCGAGUAGUUAUUAUCCCUGGGUGCUUCUAUCAUUUGUCGCAGUCUACUCACAGAAAAGUUCAAGCCUUAGGUCUAGAACAAUUAUACCGUGAAGACAAUACCUUUAAUAAAUUCUAAGUCUAACCCAACUGUUUUAAAUAUUUUGUUGUAAAUUGUAAAUCAAAUAAAAUUAUUUUUAAGGA